CAGGCCUAACACAUGCAAGUCGAACGAUGCUUUCGGGCAUAGUGGCGCACGGGUGCGUAACGCGUGGGAAUCUGCCCUUGGGUUCGGAAUAACCGUUAGAAAUGACGGCUAAUACCGGAUGAUGACGUAAGUCCAAAGAUUUAUCGCCCAGGGAUGAGCCCGCGUAGGAUUAGCUAGUUGGUGAGGUAAAGGCUCACCAAGGCGACGAUCCUUAGCUGGUCUGAGAGGAUGAUCAGCCACACUGGGACUGAGACACGGUCCAGACUCCUACGGGAGGCAGCAGUGGGGAAUAUUGGACAAUGGGCGAAAGCCUGAUCCAGCCAUGCCGCGUGUGUGAAGAAGGUCUUCGGAUUGUAAAGCACUUUAAGUUGGGAGGAAGGGCAGUAAGUUAAUACCUUGCUGUUUUGACGUUACCAACAGAAUAAGCACCGGCUAACUUCGUGCCAGCAGCCGCGGUAAU
rnacentral:rRNA from 1 species